UUACGACCACAUUCACGUUGAAACACUGGUUCUAGUACGAUCACCGAAGUUAAGCAACGUCGAUCCUGGUCAGUACCUGCUGACCGCUUGGGAAUACCAGGUGCUGUAAG